rnacentral:rRNA from 1 species
UACAGAGGGUGCGAGCGUUGUCCGGAAUCACUGGGCGUAAAGGGCGCGUAGGUGGUGGCUUAAGCGUGCGGUGAAAGCUCGGAGCUCAACUCCGAGUCGGCCGUGCGAACUGGGCUCACUGGAGCAUAGUAGAGGCAGGUGGAAUUCCGGGUGUAGCGGUGGAAUGCGUAGAGAUGCGGAGGAACACCGAUGGCGAAGGCAGCCCCCCUGGGCUAGCACUGACGCUGAGGCGCGAAAGCGUGGGGGGAGCGAUCCGG